rnacentral:lncRNA from 1 species
GAAUAUCCCUAAUAUUAUAUUUAUCAGACUAAAAUCUAAGCUAGUCGAUUUGCGAACAUUUUAUAUAAGUUCGAUACUUCAAAUAAGGGAGUAUCGAAUUACCCAAAUCCAUAUUUGAUAUGAAGAUUUGGUAAUCGAUUUGCUCAGAAUGUUCUUAAGUACAUAUCAAGUAGUCUCUAAAAUAUAAUCUCAGACAGACCAGCAAACCCCACAGU